AGUGAACGCUGGCGGUAGGCCUAACACAUGCAAGUCGAACGGCAGCACAGUAAGAGCUUGCUCUUACGGGUGGCGAGUGGCGGACGGGUGAGGAAUACAUCGGAAUCUACUUUUUCGUGGGGGAUAACGUAGGGAAACUUACGCUAAUACCGCAUACGACCUACGGGUGAAAGCAGGGGAUCUUCGGACCUUGCGCGAUUGAAUGAGCCGAUGUCGGAUUAGCUAGUUGGCGGGGUAAAGGCCCACCAAGGCGACGAUCCGUAGCUGGUCUAGGAGGAUGAUCAGCCACACUGGAACUGAGACACGGUCCAGACUCCUACGGGAGGCAGCAGUGGGGAAUAUUGGACAAUGGGCGCAAGCCUGAUCCAGCCAUACCGCGUGGGUGAAGAAGGCCUUCGGGUUGUAAAGCCCUUUUGUUGGGAAAGAAAAGCAGCAGGUUAAUACCCCGCUGUUCUGACGGUACCCAAAGAAUAAGCACCGGCUAACUUCGUG
rnacentral:rRNA from 1 species